UACGGGGGGGGCAAGCGUUGUUCGGAAUUGCUGGGCGUAAAGGGCUCGUAGGUGGCCAACUAAGUCAGACGUGAAAUCCCUCGGCUUAACCGGGGAACUGCGUCUGAUACUGGAUGGCUUGAGUUCGGGAGAGGGAUGCGGAAUUCCAGGUGUAGCGGUGAAAUGCGUAGAUAUCUGGAGGAACACCGGUGGCGAAGGCGGCAUCCUGGACCGACACUGACACUGAGGAGCGAAAGCCAGGGGAGCAAACGGGG
rnacentral:rRNA from 1 species